UAUAGACGAGUUAACGCGUGACGUCACACGCACCUGCAAAGUUUAGACUCCGCCCACUGGUUGGCAAAAAGAGGUGGAAUUCAUAUAAGCGCAUAUAGAGAAGGUUGACAUUAUCAUCGUUUUUACUGAUAAUCAUGAACUGUAUCAAAUAUAAUUUUACUAUUUAUGUCUGAAUAAAACAUAAGCAUGCGUGGAAAUUCAUUUUUUGAACGAUUAUAUUGUUGUUAUUAUUUGUUUUUACUAAAAACGAGCUCUGGAGUGGAACGUACACUAUCUACGAGCUCGGUAUGUGGUUACCACAAAAAUCUCUACUAACCGCAUUUUCACGUCCAUUUUAGAUACAAAAUUUCAGAAAUGUAAAUUCGUUUAGAAUAAAUUAAAUUUAAUGAAAGAACACAAAUAAGGAUGGAAACAAACAACAAAUAGAUCGCUUUUUGUUCGCAACAUAUAGUAACUGAUUUUAAUCUUAAUAUAUCUGUACAAACUUACCUUGUUACACAACAAAUAAAUUCAUAAAUCUAA